CAUGGAGGGUGAGAAUCCCGUACGGCCGAAUCGACGCGUUUUACGAUACGCUUUCAAAGAGUCAAGUUGUUUGGGAAUGCAGCUUAAAAUGGGAGGUAAAUUUCUCCUAAGGCUAAAUAUUGGCGAGAGACCGAUAGCGAACAAGUACCGUGAGGGAAAGAUGAAAAGUACUUUGAAAAGAGAGUUAAAUAGCACGUGAAAUUGUUGAAAGGGAAACGAUUGAAGUCAGUCGUACUUACGAGUGAUCAACCUUUUAGGUGCGAUCAUGUGGGCAUCUGGGAGUGGUAACACCUUGGAUGUUUUCAAGUUCGUGCUUUGGGGCGUACUUGCUCGUUUGUAGGUUAACAUCAAUUUUGGUCAUUACAAAAUGACUGGAGGAAUGUAGCUUCAAUUUCGAUUGAAGUGUUAUAGCCUCUGGUAGAUGUAAUGAUCGGGAUUGAGGAUUGCAACGAAUACCCAGUCGGGCUAUCCAUCUGGUCUCUGACUGUCGACUCUUGUUGCUGGAAGCUUGCUUACGGUUAUCGAGGUUGGUAGUCAACAGGUUAGAACGGAUUAAAUUCGUUAAGGAUGUUGACGUAAUGG
rnacentral:rRNA from 1 species